rnacentral:rRNA from 1 species
UGAGCAAUCUGCCCUUCUCAUCGGAAUAAGCGUUGGAAACGACGUCUAAUGCCGAAUACGACCUCCUUUCGCAUGAUCGGAGGUGGAAAGCUCCGGCGGAGAAGGAUGAGCUCGCGGCCUAUCAGCUAGUUGGUGUGGGUAAUGGCCCACCAAGGCGACGAUGGGUAGCCGGCCUGAGAGGGUGACCGGCCACACUGGGACUGAGACACGGCCCAGACUCCGUAGGAG